rnacentral:rRNA from 1 species
CAGCGCGGGGCAACCCGGCGGCGAGUGGCGAACGGGUGAGUAAUAUAUCGGAACAUACCCUAGAGUGGGGGAUAACGUAGCGAAAGUUACGCUAAUACCGCAUACGCACUAAGGUGGAAAGUGGGGGAUGUGCUAGCACCUCAUGCUCAUGGAGUGGCCGAUAUCUGAUUAGCUAGUUGGUGAGGUAAAGGCUCACCAAGGCAACGAUCAGUAGCUGGUUUGAGAGAACGACCAGCCACACUGGAACUGAGACACGGUCCAGACUCCUACGGGAGGCAGCAGUGGGGAAUUUUGGACAAUGGGGGCAACCCUGAUCCAGCAAUGCCGCGUGAGUGAAGAAGGCCUUCGGGUUGUAAAGCUCUUUUGUCAGGGAAGAAACGGUGAUUUCUAAUACAGAUUGCUAAUGACGGUACCUGAAGAAUAAGCACCGGCUAACUACGUGCCAGCAGCCGCGGUAAUACGUAGGGUGCAAGCGUUAAUCGGAAUUACUGGGCGUAAAGCGUGCGCAGGCGGUUAUAUAAGUCAGAUGUGAAAUCCCUGGGCUCAACCUAGGAACUGCAUUUGAGACUGUAUGGCUAGAGUGUGUCAGAGGGGGGUAGAAUUCCACGUGUAGCAGUGAAAUGCGUAGAUAUGUGGAGGAAUACCGAUGGCGAAGGCAGCCCCCUGGGAUAACACUGACGCUCAUGCACGAAAGCGUGGGGAGCAAACAGGAUUAGAUACCCUGGUAGUCCACGCCCUAAACGAUGUCUACUAGUUGUCGGGUCUUAAUUGACUUGGUAACGCAGCUAACGCGUGAAGUAGACCGC